ACAUGCAAGUCGAACGGGAUCUGCGUGGCCUUUGUGGUUGUGUGGUGAGAGUGGCGAACGGGUGAGUAACACGUGAGUAACCUGCCUUUUUCUUUGGGAUAACGCUCAGAAAUGGGUGCUAAUACUGGAUGUUCUGCGCUUUCCGCAUGGGGGGUGUGGGAAAGGGGCCUUUGUGGUUUCUGGAGGGAGAUGGGCUCGCGGCUUAUCAGCUUGUUGGUGGGGUGAUGGCUUACCAAGGCUUUGACGGGUAGCCGGCCUGAGAGGGUGGGCGGUCACAUUGGGACUGAGAUACGGCCCAGACUCCUACGGGAGGCAGCAGUGGGGAAUUUUGCACAAUGGGGGGAACCUUGAUGCAGCGACGCCGCGUGAGGGAUGGAGGCCUUCGGGUUGUGAACCUCUUUCGCUCGUGUGCAAGCCGCUAUUUGGGUAGUGGUGAGUGUAGCGGGUAAAGAAGCGCCGGCUAACUACGUGCCAGCAGCCGCGGUAAUACGUAGGGCGCGAGCGUUGUCCGGAUUUAUUGGGCGUAAAGGGCUUGUAGGCGGUUUGUCGCGCCUGUCGUGUAAUCCUCUGGCUUAACUGGGGGUGUGCGGUGGGUACGGGCAGGCUUGAGUGCGGUAGGGGAGAUUGGAAUUCCUGGUGUAGCGGUGGAAUGCGCAGAUAUCAGGAGGAACACCGGUGGCGAAGGCGGGUCUCUGGGCCGUUACUGACGCUGAGGAGCGAAAGCGU
rnacentral:rRNA from 1 species